CCAAGUCGUGAGGCGGAGCUAUCCUUAAAGCCAUUCUCAGUUCGGAUUGUAGGCUGAAACUCGCCUACAUGAAGCUGGAGUUACUAGUAAUCGCAGAUCAGAAUGCUGCGGUGAAUGCGUUCCCGGGUCUUGUACACACCGCCCGUCACACCGCGGAAGUUGGGGGCGCCCGAAGCCACUUAGCUAACCCAUUUGGGAAGCGAGUGUCGAAGGUGAAAUCAAUAACUGGGGUGAAGUCGUAACAAGGUAGC
rnacentral:rRNA from 1 species